CUGUGAUGGCCUCCUUAGUGGGCCUUUUAGCGUACCGGAGCCUUUGGCCUGGUAGCAGAAAGAGAUGUUGUCUUCAUUCGGUAUCUUUCGGGUCUUUGUUAUGGCGGGGCUCAGUGAGAUCCAGUGGGACGUCCGCGGUGUACGAUGUGGUGGUGUCAGGUGGUGGCAUGGUCGGAACCGCCAUGGCUGCUGCACUGGGACAUGACGUUCAUCUCUGUGAUAAGAAAAUUCUGCUACUUGAAGCUGGCCCAAAGAAAGUGUUUAACCAAUUGCCCAAGAUUUACAGUAAUAGGGUCAGUGCUAUUACACCUGGUUCUGCCACAUUUCUUAGUAGCUUUGGUGCUUGGGAACAUAUUUGCAAUAUGAGAAUCAGACCCUUUCGACGAAUGCAGGUGUGGGAUGCUUGUUCUGAGGCCAUGAUAAUUUUUGAUAAAGAAAACUUGGAAGACAUGGGUUAUAUAGUAGAGAAUGAUGUUAUCCUGUCUGCUCUCACAAAACAGCUGGAUGAAGUUUCAGACCGAGUGGAAGUUCUCUACAGGAGCAGAGCAGUUGGGUACAAGUGGCCCCUUCAUUAUCAAUCCUCUGAUACAAGCACUUGGGUCCAAAUUGAUUUAGCAGAUGGACACAGACUUCAGACCAAACUGCUGAUUGGUGCAGAUGGGCAGAAUUCUAUGAUCCGGAAGGCAGCUGGUAUUCAGAAAAUUCAGUACCAAUAUGACCAGUCAGCUGUAGUUGCUACUCUUCACUUGUCUGAGGCAACAGAGAACAAUGUAGCAUGGCAGAGAUUCCUUCCUUCUGGACCUAUUGCACUCCUCCCGCUGUCUGAUACUGUCAGCUCUUUGGUUUGGUCCACAUCGCAUGAACAUGCAUCCCAGCUUCAAAGCAUGGAUGAGGAAAGUUUUGUGGACUCUGUCAAUUCUGCUUUUUGGAGCAACGCAAAUCACUCAGACUUUAUCGAUACUGCGGGAUCCAUGUUCCGAUCUGCUGUUUCUCUCCUCAUGCCAUCAGGGACAGCAACCCGCCAGCUGCCCCCAAGUGUGGCAAAAGUGGAUCCAAGAAGCCGAGCUGUGUUUCCUCUUGGACUUGGGCAUGCAACAGAAUAUGUCCAACACCGUGUCGCACUCAUUGGGGAUGCUGCUCAUAGAGUACAUCCUCUAGCAGGUCAAGGUGUAAAUAUGGGCUUUGGUGAUAUUGCAUGCUUGACACAUCAUCUCAGUGCUGCAGCAUUCAGUGGAAAGGAUCUGGGCUCUUUAAAGCAUCUGCUGCAGUAUGAAAGAGAACGACAGAGUCACAACCUUUCUCUCCUGGCUGCAACUGACUUGUUGAAGAGACUGUACUCUACAAGUCUAGCUCCUUUAGUGCUGCUAAGAACAUGGGGAGUGCAAGCAACUAAUGCUUUAUCUCCAGUUAAAGAGCAGAUCAUGGCAUUUGCCAGUAAAUGACUUCUUCACAAAUCAAGAGUUGCUGUUCACUGCUGGUUGAUGUAGAUUCACACAGUAGAAAGACUGUAUUACAUUUGCCAAGCAUGCUUCUAUAUCCUUUGUGAGCAUUUGUACCCUGGAAAGAAAGAAAGAAAUCACCCUGAAAGGUCAUACACCUCAAGUCAUUUUUCAAACAUUUGCUGCUCACCUAUCAAGUCAGUAUCCACAGCCCGAUCAUAGUAAUAGGAAAAGGCAUAGAAGGAACUUUUCCGAAUCUCAUCUGGUUGAUGCAGUUUUCCUUGAACAACCUUCAACACUUCAGAAUAACAAUGUUCAAAUCCUGUUUUCCCUGCAAAUGCAAGCAUGAUAUGAGUCCCACUUUAGACAGAGCAGAAUACAUAACAAUGAAAUUUAGGAGAGGAGACACAUGAGGGAGAAAGCACAAAAAUAGAAUGUUACAUGGCCUUCCUCAGGAUAGCCAUCUUUUUCCUCAGCACUGCUGCAGCCUGGGCACAGCCCCAUCUCUAUCUUUGCUGUUCCUGUAUGAGUAUAUAUUCAGAAGAGGGUUUUUUUAAGACCCUAUGUGGGGAAAGACAGUCUUAGGAAGGGACUUUGCCAUAAAAGGACAGUAAGUAUACUCCAAAAUAAAAUUCCAGAGAUGGUAGGAAAGUAUGCAAGUUAGCCUGAGUGUGACCCCAAACACUGGCCUUUUCGUGGAGCCAGAACAGAAUGGAAAUAGUUUUUCCAGCCUAUGAUUUCUUGUCCAGUCUUCUCUAAAUAUGAAAUGGAAACUUCUAGGGCACUGCAAACUCCUAGCAGCAGCUUUGCUGUGAACAGCUCCUGCACAAUAACUGGUAUCUUAUCUGGAUAGACACAACCUGUUGUUCACAUUGCAUUUUGACUUGCUGUCUUCACACAUUUUGUCUCGCUUCACCUCAUCUCCAUCCAGGUAUACACGUGAGUUUUACCUUUAAAUACUGGGGUUUUAUUAAAUAAUGAAUUUAAGUAACAUCUAUUUUAAGAAACUAUGAAAUCAAGUCAGGUUGCAACAGUUUUUUUGUCAUGUGAGCCCUCCAUAUCAAAAAGCUUGAAAAGUGUUUGAAAAGGAAGAAGUAAAGAAAAGAAAACAAAGCAAAGCAUAAUGAGGAAGGAUAGUCUUAUGCCAACACAUGGCUUUGCUGGGACUUAGACCAAGUAUUCCUCAGUUAAAUUGCAGAGUGAAAGAACAUCAUUUUAUUCCUUCCUAACUAUCUCCAGUACUGAUCUAAUCUUUUUCUAGUGUUAUGAUCAUCAAAGGGCAUGCUGUGGGCCUUGGGACAUACUUUCAGGAACCACAGGACUGCUCUAAGGGUCAAGUGAAAUGCAUUAAAUGUCUAUAUUAUUUUAGUAGGACAAAAUACUCCAGUGAGGGAUUUAUUUUCUGACAGCUACUACUUCAGGCCAGGUCUACACCUUUUCAAGCAAGGUCCCAGCUAAGAAAGCAGUCUUCUAAAAUACAAGAAAAGAUAAAGAGAAGACUGCCUUUAAAAAACAAAGCAAAACACCUCUUCAUUUAAUCAAUCUUUGGAAACAAUGUAUUUCUAACUUGCCUUCUUUGUUGCCACCAUAUUGGUAUUUGACUCCCCCAAAGUGCCAUUCUGCUUCCAGCUUUCUUGGCAAACAGGAGCUUCGGAAGGUCUGUCCAUCUACUGUUGAAGAGAAUAUAGAUUUGGAAAAUAGUCAAGAAGUUUUCUAGCCACCAUGUAAUUGCAGGAAAAGGAAGCUGGAAAAGUUCAAGUUCUCCAUUCCAUUUUCAGGGGAAAAUUAAGAUAGUGCUUGUUUCUCCAAAUGGGACAUUUAAUCCAUUGGAGUCAAUAGAAAUUAGUUAGUAUUGAUAAAUAGCAUGAUAGCGGUGUAUAAAUAUUACAGUGAAGAGAGCCUGGAUACUCCUAAUAUAGGAGGAGAAUAGGAAAAAUGGAUACUGAUUGCAGAAUACUGCUAUUUUUAGUCACAAGCCAGAAAUUGAUGAGAAUGGGACAGUCAUUAGUAACACAAAGGUUGGAAGACAAGGAAUCUAGGUGUGUUGGAUAAGCAGGAGAAAUGCAUUUCAUACUAUGGUACAAGAAUGGUGGUGGAAUGGGGAAAUAUUUAUGUGUAUGUGACUUCAGGAACCCUGAAGUUCUUGUGGAGUAUGACUUGAUAAUGACUUUGAGAAUGCCUAGUCUAAUUUAAAAAAAGAUGGGAUACAUUGAAGAAAUGAGGAAAAGGCAUCUGCUGAAGAAGCUGAAUCUUUUCUUAUUCCAAAAGAAAUGCAAUUAGCCCAACUGCAUGGUUGUCCUCUCUCUUAAGUCUUCCAAAAUGUAAAUAAAGUAACUACAACUCAAACUCCCCUUUAUCCAAGUGCUUGGUUUUAAUAAGAAAUUACAUGUACCACAGAGCAGCUUAAAAUUGCUUUCCAGAGUGCAGCUGCUUGUAGAGUUUAUCUUUAAGGUUAGCAUUUCACAGUCUAGAUUCUGUUUCAUUAUGCAUACUGGCUCAAAUACAGUUUAGUAUUACCUACCUCAGUAAAACCCUUUUUAGGGGGAUAAAUGCACACUGAGAUGGGUAUAAAGGAAAAUCCAGCUAAAUGCAGAGAGCCAGAUAGAUGGGGAAUGGAUGCACUCAUUCAGUUUGUUUGAUCCCUACAAGUCACAUGCUACCUGCAUUAAUUCCUUAAUAAUCGGUGUUCCAGUCAGAACAGGUCCUAGUAGCUUAAAUAAGGUGGCUGCUUGAGGAUAACAAGGAUGCUCCAGGGUGACAGUGGCAGUCCUCAUGGUUCAUCCUGCUGAGCCCCCUCUAGCCAUUCCCAUCUUCCUAAGCUAGCACCUCUGAGGCAUCCAAUGUUUCUAUACUGGAAUCCUCUUGCUACUAGAGAGUGCACCUAAACUUAGGUGUUGGUGAUAUACACAUGUAUUUAAAAGUAAUUGAUUUAAAGCAGGUAUAUAAAUAGUCUAAAAAUCUUUCAUUUGCUGAGAGCACUAGCUAAAACUGAUUGCCAGAAAGAUCCCCAACUGGUGGAGUAAAGUGUUACCCUGAAAAGUGUCAUCCAAAAAAGUCUGGUUUUUUUCAAAUAGAGAAUACUGGCUGCUGUUCCUAAUAGCAGCAACCCAAUAGAAUCAUAGGUUUGAAAUAUUGAACAUGAACUCACUGCCCCAGAUUACAUAGUUGCAAUCUGGAAAAAUCAUUUUAUUUUCAAACAGCAUUCUAUGCCCCCAGCCAGCCUCAAACUCUCCCACAAUCUCCUCCUGGAAUAUAUUGCACUCCCUUGCAGUUACUUUGUGCCUUAUUUUUCCUCCGUAUAGUAGUAGUGUAUUGGAAACUGGCACUAUUCCUAGUCAAGCUACUACCAGUAAUCACAGAGAGACAUAAGAUAGCAGCCAGAAAAUCUAGUGGUAGCUAUGCCAUUCCCUUAUUAACACACACUCUAUAUGUAAUUUUUCUAUAUCACUGUACCUUCCAUUUCUAAUGCUCCCAAUGUUGCCAGUCGUGCAGCUUUCAGCCCAAAUCCCAAAUAACUGUAAAAAAAGACAAAGGGUGCUUAAUUAAAAUUCAUGUGCACCCUAUUCCACAUGUGAGACUAGGUAGCAACCCAUUUUAUAAACAUGGACAUAAAUGAGAUUUUGUUCAAAGAGCCUCCUGUUUGCUGAGUUCCAGAUGUGACAUGUUAACUUGUGGCUCUUACACAUUAAUUCACAAUCUACCAAGUAUUGUAAGAAUGAAGAAAUGUCUAUAGUUUUCUGCCACAGGCCUUUAAAAGUUAUUCUGAUAACCAGCAAAAUACACCGGCUUAAGAACUGACCAGAACAAAUUGUCAGGGUAGAUAUUACUUCUGGCUGAAGGUCAGUAAUACCUUAAGUUUUGAAGAAACAACUAUUUGUAAAACACCUUUUCACUUACCUGUGCGUGUAGAGUUUAAAAGUGCUGUUGAACAUUUGAAAUGAGGUAAGAAAAUCAACUGGUGUUUGCUCCAGGGUUUCCUAAAGAUUAGAAUAAUAAAAAGGAUUAUUCAAUGAUAGCUAUUUCAAAGGAAAACAGGGUAGCAACUUCCUACUUUUUUUCAGAUAUUUUGCACUGUCUACAGAGCUCUUGACCCACCUUCCCAACUCUUUCCUAUUCAGUCCUCCCACAAGUAUCCAGGAGAACAUCAUGAGAGCACCAAGUACCCCCCCCCCCCACCACCAUUGCAUUUCAAUGGGAUGGUGUGGAGGAGAAGGAGAACCUCUUUCCAAUGGAGCAAAAAUAGCAGGUGGGAAUGGUGUGGGUGCAGCUAGCCACUGCUGAUCCUGGCAAAGAGGAGUUGCUGGGCAACCCCCUGCUGCUGGCAUCCAAGCCAUGCUCUGCUUAGGCUUCUCUAGAAAAGUCCCAGCAGAGCAUGCACCCCUACCUCCUGCUGCAGUAGCCCUACAAUUGUGGAGCAGGUGGGGGAACACAAGUUUCAUUUUGCUCAGUCUCUUCCAGGGAGGCCAAGUAGAAAGAACAUGGUUUGUCCUACACCACCAUGGCCACCAGGCAUUUCAGUUGACAGCUAUGGUAGCAUGUGGAGCUUUUGAUGGCUGUCCUGAAGUGAUGCUUCAGCACUUUAGGAUAGCUGUCAUCGACACUUUCAGUGCAGUAAGCCUUUUUGGCACUCUUGCAUGGUAGCUCUGUAGUGAUCUGACUUGUCCCCUGGUGGAUCAUGCUGUCUGGAUUCACGCUAUACAGCAAGCUACCACAGAAAAAAACAAAUCUUAGAAUAAGCCAUGGCUUGCCAGGUGGCUAAUUAGCCAAACUUGAGCCAUCCUGACAAAACUAUCCUGAGUUCAGACAACACACUAAGCCAUCAUUGCUUCAAAGCCAUGGUGACUUAGCAUGUUGUAUGAACCCAGUCAGUUUGCUGUUAUUAAAAGACACAACUCAGGUAACCAUGGGCUGCAAUAAAUGCAAGUGCUAUUUAUAAAGUUACCUUUACAUGAACCUUAGUAGGAAGAGCUAUAACUCAAUGGUAGAACACAUGCCUUGCAUGCAGGAGGUCCUAUAUUCAAUCCUGAGGAUUUCCAGGAAAACCUGGAGAGUUCUACCAAUCAUUGUCAAUAAGAUUGAGCUAAAAGGAUCAACUGUCAGACUCAGUAUAAGGCAUCUCCCUGUGUUGCUAAAUAAGGUCAACUGAAAAUCCUGAGAAUUUGCAGCUAUUAAUGUUUGGAAAAUUAGUUGUUAUACUAGAAAAGUUAUGUUUGCUUUUAAAUGUGCAUUACACUUUAGCUUUCUAUAAUUUUGGGUAUUUUCUUUUUAAUAAUUUGAUUGUAAAUUACUUUGUGACUUUGAGCUUUUACAAGUGGAAGGUGAUUUCAAAAGAUAUUAUUCCAAAACCAAUAAGGAAAAAAAAAAUACUAUCAAGGUCAAUAGGGAAUGUGGCCACAUUCACAGACAGUACAAACAGAGGCUGGUACUAGAAAGACUGGGAUACCUAAGAAACAGUCACUAUUUUAAAGAAUAAAAUACAACAUUUUGUAAUAAUCACAUGGUUUAACAUGAAACAAAAUCAAAUGUAGACGAUUUCAUGUUCCCUUUAGUAUUUAAAGUAUGUAUAAGAUGUCUAACAGUUUAAUGAACUGUAUUAAAGUAGCCUAGAUCUAGAUGAAACAUAGAAACUUAGAAACAGAGUGAGUCCGAAGGGGCCUCCUGGGCCAUCUAGUCCGACUCCCAGCUCCAGCCAGCUCUGCUCAUGAAAUAACAGCAAAUAAUGUGGACACCUGCUCCAAAUUAUCCAACAUGACAGAAGCGCCAACUGCUCACCUCCAACUGUGGCAAAAAUGUGAUCUGAGUUGAGGCUCCUCCCAAGUCCAGAGUCCCCACUGUCUGAUGAUUCCGGCCAUACAACUGCCCUGCAAGCAAGAUUGCAGAAGUUAGUUAGUUAGUUAGUUAGUUAGUUAG